UAGUUAGCUUUCUCCAACUACAAAUAAAGUCUACAAACUUGUCGUCUGUAUGCGCCCAAGUUGUUUUAUUAUUCUCGUUUACUUUUCUUUGUAUGAUAUAUGUAUGAGAAGAUAUAUCCAUGAGAGAGAGAGAAAACUUAAAAAAAGAAAGAAAAAAAAAGCUAAAGACACGGAUCUUUCGCCAUUUUCGUAAAUGGGAGUCACAAGAGAGUCGUAAAU
rnacentral:lncRNA from 1 species